CACGAACGCUGGCGGCGUGCUUAACACAUGCAAGUCGAGCGGAAAGGCCUCUUCGGGGGUACUCGAGCGGCGAACGGGUGAGUAACACGUGAGUAAUCUGCCCUUCACUCUGGGAUAGCCACCGGAAACGGUGAUUAAUACCGGAUACGACACGUCCAGGCAUCUGGUGCGGGGGGAAACUUUGUGGGUGGGGGAUGUGCUCGCGGCCUAUCAGCUUGUUGGGGGGGUAAUGGGCUACCAAGGUUUCGACGGGUAGCCGGCCUGAGAGGGUGGCCGGCCACACUGGGCCUGAGACACGGCCCAGACUCCUACGGGAGGCAGCAGUGGGGAAUAUUGGACAAUGGGCGGAAGCCUGAUCCAGCAACGCCGCGUGAGGGAUGACGGCCUUCGGGUUGUAAACCUCUUUCAGCACCGACGAAGCGAUCCUUUGGGGAGUGACGGUAGGUGCAGAAGAAGGACCGGCCAACUACGUGCCAGCAGCCGCCGUAACAC
rnacentral:rRNA from 1 species